GUGUUUGCUUCGGCAGCACAUAUGCUAAAACUAGAAUGAUACAGAGAAGACUAACAUGGCCCCUGUGCAAGGAUGACACACACAUUUGUGAAGCGUUUCAUAUUUUU
ensembl:snRNA U6 U6 spliceosomal RNA